rnacentral:rRNA from 1 species
AACGAACGCUGGCGGCAUGCCUAACACAUGCAAGUCGAACGAAGGCUUCGGCCUUAGUGGCGCACGGGUGCGUAACGCGUGGGAAUCUGCCCCUCGGUUCGGAAUAACAGUUAGAAAUGACUGCUAAUACCGGAUGAUGACUUCGGUCCAAAGAUUUAUCGCCGAGGGAUGAGCCCGCGUAAGAUUAGGUAGUUGGUGGGGUAAAGGCCUGCCGAGCCGACGAUCUUUAGCUGGUCUGAGAGGAUGAUCAGCCACACUGGGACUGAGACACGGCCCAGACUCCUACGGGAGGCAGCAGUGGGGAAUAUUGGACAAUGGGCGAAAGCCUGAUCCAGCAAUGCCGCGUGAGUGAUGAAGGCCUUAGGGUUGUAAAGCUCUUUUACCAGGGAUGAUAAUGACAGUACCUGGAGAAUAAGCUCCGGCUAACUCCGUGCCAGCAGCCGCCGUAA